UAGAAUUACUGGUGGGUUGUAUUGCCGAACUUUCAGAAAUUGAGGAGAACAUGCUACUUAGACACGGAGAAAACGACUUCAGUGUCAUGUAUUCCACAAGGAAAAAUUGUGCUCAACUCUGGCUCGGUCCUGCUGCAUUUAUAAAUCAUGGUAAGCUGCCUUCUGAGGCGUCUACGCUGUGUGGGCUGGCUGCCCACAGCUAGUGUGGCCUGGCCAUACUCAGGGGAGUUUGGAAUGGCCGUUAUCUUCAGAUUUAUUAAAUAUGCCCAGUGUGACUUGAGACCUAAACUGUGAUGUUGUCUGGAAAGCCUUUUCAGAUUCUGUAACUUCGUGUUUCAGAUCUUAUCAGCAGUUAAUUGACUUUCUCUUUUGGACAUUUUUCAGAUUGCAGACCUAACUGUAAGUUUGUGUCAACUGGCCGAGAUACAGCAUGUGUUAAGGCUCUGAGAGAUAUUGAACCUGGAGAAGAAAUUUCUUGUUAUUAUGGAGAUGGGUUUUUUGGAGAAAAUAAUGAGUUCUGCGAAUGUUACACUUGCGAAAGGUAAAGGAUCAGACUCCCUUCCUAUUCAGCAUGU
rnacentral:lncRNA from 1 species